rnacentral:rRNA from 3 species
UGGGGAAUAUUGCACAAUGGAGGGAACUCUGAUGCAGCGACGCCGCGUGAACGAAGAAGGCUUUCGAGUCGUAAAGUUCUUUUAUAUGGGAAGAUAAUGACGGUACCAUAAGAAAAAGCCCCGGCUAACUACGUGCCAGCAGCCGCGGUAAUACGUAGGGGGCUAGCGUUGUCCGGAAUCACUGGGCGUAAAGGGUUCGCAGGCGGAAAUGCAAGUCAGGUGUAAAAGGCAGUAGCUUAACUACUGUAAGCAUUUGAAACUGCAUAUCUUGAGAAGAGUAGAAGUAAGUGGAAUUUUUAGUGUAGCGGUGAAAUGCGUAGAUAUUAAAAAGAAUACCGGUGGCGAAGGCGACUUACUGGGCUCAUUCUGACGCUGAGGAACGAAAGCGUGGGUAGCAAACAGG